rnacentral:rRNA from 1 species
UGAGCAAUCUGCCCUUCUCAUCGGAAUAAGCGUUGGAAACGACGUCUAAUGCCGAAUACGACCUCCUUUCACAUGAUCGGAGGUGGAAAGCUCCGGCGGAGAAGGAUGAGCUCGCGGCCUAUCAGCUAGUUGGUGUGGGUAACGGCUCACCAAGGCGACGACGGGUAGCUGGUCUGAGAGGAUGGCCAGCCACAUUGGGACUGAGACACGGCCCAGACUCCGUACGGG